CGGAUUGUAGGCUGCAACUCGCCUACAUGAAGUUGGAAUCGCUAGUAAUCGCGAAUCAGAAUGUCGCGGUGAAUACGUUCCCGGGUCUUGUACACACCGCCCGUCACACCACGAGAGUUUACAACACCCGAAGUCAGUGGCCUAACCGCAAGGAGGGAGCUGCCUAAGGUGGGGUAGAUGAUUGGGGUGAAGUCGUAACAAGGUAGC
rnacentral:rRNA from 1 species